GUGAGGAAUUUUCCGCAAUGGGCGAAAGCCUGACGGAGCAAUGCCGCGUGAAGGAUGAAGGCCUAUGGGUUGUAAACUUCUUUUCUCAGAAAAGAAUUAUGACGGUAUCUGAGGAUUAAGCAUCGGCUAACUCUGUGCCAGCAGCCGCGGUAAGACAGAGGAUGCAAGCGUUAUCCGGAAUGAUUGGGCGUAAAGCGUCUGUAGGUUGUUUAAAAAGUAUUCUGUCAAAGAUUAGGGCUUAACCCUAGAUAGGCAGAAUAAACUUUUAAGCUAGAGUUUGGUAGAGGCAGAGGGAAUUCCCGGUGGAGCGGUGAAAUGCGUAGAUAUCGGGAGGAACACCAAAGGCGAAGGCACUCUGCUGGGCCAAUACUAACACUGAGAGACGAAAGCGAGGGGAGCAAAUGGGAUUAGAAACCCUGGUAGUCC
rnacentral:rRNA from 1 species